GCAGCCCUCUCUGGGCAUGGACUUCUUCUUAGAUGGGCUGCUCCAACCUGCCCCAGGGUUCCAAGACAAGCAAGAGGGAGAGUGGAGAGUUGCAGGAAGAGGUGGCUAAAACUCUGUGGGAGCCCCUGUGCCUAUGGACGUUUUUUCUGGCAUCUGCCCUUUGGCCUGGGCCCAGUGCCCACCAAAGAAGUUGGUUUGUGUUACAGUCAGGUCCACAGUCCAGAACAGGGGAAGGGGCGGAGCCCGUGUUUAGGGCUGGGGGCCCCAAGGCAAGGAGUCCCUUCAAGUGCUGUGGAACAUCAGAUUUUUGAACGACUCCAUUUAGAAGUAGAAGAAAAGCUCUCGGGAAAUAGGAGGGUUCUGGCUGGCUUCCCAGGAGAACAGCAAGUUCCAGCCAACUGGAGCUCCGGAAGCCGGGAAUUUGUGAGGAGGAAUGGGGCACGGAGCAAGCAAACAUCUCGACCACAGUUCCCCUGGCAGAACUCUGCUCUGAAGACCCCAGCCAUUUGCUAUGUACCACAGAGGGACAGCGGGAGCAGGGAUGUUGGAAUCUCACGACUGAUUUGACUUGAGACCUCCCUCACGUUGGCCCCCAGAACUGAAGAGCCUUCUUAUACAAGGACUCUGCUGGGACUGGAGUCUCUGCAGAUCUGGAAAAUCUACAUCAGGGAAAGGAGACAGGGGUCAAAGGGCAGCCCUGCAGAUGGCUGGAGGGUGAAUGAGUGUGGCUAGGAAAACUUGCUGCAUUCCACGGGAAAGUGGGGCUGUGUAACCCAGCAACUCCGUUCCUCUUUAAUAUCACACAGCACCAUCCUCUAUGCCUUUUGUCUCUGGCUUACUUUACGUUCUUAAAUAUGAAAAAGGACCCUAGAUAACUCCUGUACGUGAGCCAAGCUGGUCGAUAUUUGAAUAAAUGUAAAAAACAGUAAACUCAUGCAGCUAAUGUGAG
rnacentral:lncRNA from 1 species